rnacentral:rRNA from 1 species
GUCGUCAGCUCGUGUCGUGAGAUGUUGGGUUAAGUCCCGCAACGAGCGCAACCCUUGUCACUAGUUGCCAUCAUUUAGUUGGGCACUCUAGUGAGACUGCCGGUGACAAACCGGAGGAAGGUGGGGAUGACGUCAAGUCCUCAUGGCCCUUAUGGGUAGGGCUUCACACGUCAUACAAUGGUCGGUACAGAGGGUUGCCAAGCCGCGAGGUGGAGCCAAUCCCUUAAAGCCGAAUCGUAGUCCGGAUCGUAGUCUGCAACUCGACUACGUGAAGUCGGAAUCGCUAGUAAUCGCAGAUCAGCAUGCUGCGGUGAAUACGUUCCCGGGUCUU